rnacentral:lncRNA from 1 species
AAAUAUUGCUUUCAUUCACUUCUUUACAAAAUAUUGGAUGAAUUAAAAAUAAAAUAUGAUACAAAAAUGCCAAAGCAAUUGUGAUAGUCAUAGCUUAAGAUUCGAGUACCCCAACAUACGAUCUGGUCGAGAGUUGGAGACGGACAGCAAGAUCCGCUUAAGGAACAAAUUUAACUCGUAUAUCAAGGUGUUAAUGUACAUACACGUAUGUGUAAGAUGACUGGUUUUCAAAUUGUGGUACGCGGCUUCCGAUAUUGAAUAUGUUUGAUAAUAAUUGUAGCACUUUGAGAUCUUGAUAUUUUCUCAGAUGGUACAUACUGUAAAAAGCUUGAGAGUCACUGUACUAGACGAUUCUCUACAAAGUUGACAACAGUUAUGAUUUGUGAGAAUUCCUCCCAAGUGAAAACUUGAAUCUCGAGACAUUCUGAAGAAUGUAUAAAUUUAAAUGAAUGGCACAAAAAAAAUCAAUAGUUACACCAUGCUCCAUGAUGAUUGUUGGUACCAGAGAGAAGUUGAUACUUAGAUAUAUCAAUUCUCCCAAAAGUUAGAGAAUAAAAAAAGACUUAUUUUCUAGAAAUUA